CUCAGCCAUCGUUAUCUCCUAGCGCGCGCUCCUUGUCUUCUCCCAGCGCUCUCCUUCACUGCCGCGCCGCCCUCCUCCCUUCUCCCUGCUCCUUCCCAUGGUGCGCAGGGCGUCCUCCCCUCGAUUUCCUCCGUGCCUCCUUCCAGUCAGCGACGAACGAGGUUCUAGGCGGCCACGUCGUUGUCCGGCACCUCGUCUGUGUUUUUCUCUGUGCCACGGUCGAGCUCGCCGCGUCCCUUUGUUUGAGUCCGUCAACCUCCAUCUCGCCCCGAGCUCCUUCCAUGGCUGUCGUCGCCUCCAAGCCUGGGGUAUUGCCGAGCUCGCCCAGCCCUUCCCCAUCACACGCCGGCGGUCCUCCAUUCCCAGCCACGCCGCUCUCUGCUCACUGGUGCUCGCCCCUGCCCUCUGUCUAGCGCCCUCCCUGCUCCACCUCUUCCCAUGGCCGCCUGCAGCUCUCGUCCUCCCUCAAGCCCUAGUCGAGCUUUUCUAUGGCGCCCUGGAUGCCAGCCCCUUUACUCGAUGCCCCUACUAGGUUCCUGGCAUGUUCGCCGAGCCAUCGCCCAAGCUCAGCUUAUCCAUGGCGCAGGGAACAACAACCCCUUUCUGUUGAUGGCAUGCUGCAGCCCCCUCCAUCACGCUAUCUCCUGUUCUCCAUUUUUGCUGCAGCAAGUGGACGCCCCCAGCCCUCCAUUAUUUGCCCAUCUUCCCCAUGGUGCCAGCAGCAUGCCAACGGUUCAACGAUAGGUGCAGCAGUCUGCGCGUCGUCAAUCUCCUCACAUCAGGUCGUGUCCCUCUCUGUCCUUGCAUGUUCUAGUUUCAUUUCACUUUGUUGUCCAUGUCGUGACGCUUGUGUUAUCUCUGGUUUAUUUUUGUGUAUGGUGAGGAAGAGAAUUCUAGGAAAAAUCGAUGAAGAAAACAUGUUUCAGUUCGGUGCGCUCUAGGUGUUUGACGAAAUGGGAGCACCAGGGAACAAUCGUCGUUCUUGCAUAAACCAAGUCGAUUUGACUGUGGUACGCUACAUGAUCACGUGAUACGGAAUUCAAGAACUGAGUUGAUCUCAAGAUGAUGAAAUGAUGAGCUACUCCGACAAAUGAUGUCUGUGAAUCAACCUAAUGAGAGGUGGACCGAUCAAGUGCCAAGAUGAAUAUGGUCGUCAAAUGAUCGUCAUCUAACCAACACUAACCUAGUGUUAUCCCAGACAAGCCCCGGUGCAUUUGCCACCUCAUUCUGUUUUAAAAAGUUUUAUCACCUUGAAUGAUGCAUUAGGUGAUAGGAGUUGUGAUCAAACAGUUGAUGCAUUUCCUUCCUUGAUUAGACAACCCUAAUACCCGUUUUAUGAAAAUUUAGUGAUGCUUAGCCCUUCUUAUUAAUUUAGGAUUUGUUUUUUUAAAAGAUGAUAUGUAACACGGGAUAAGGGAGUUUGUGAAAUAAAAUGACUUGUGAUGAUG